AUUCCAGCUCCAAUAGCGUAUAUUAAAGUUGUUGCAGUUAAAAAGCUCGUAGUUGGAGUUCAGAGUGAGCUCAGCCGGUCCGCCUCAUGGGUGAGUACUGGUCGACUCUCUCUUGUUUGUGAAUCCCGCCCGGAGUUAAUUCUUCGGGAUGUGGAGUUCACAUCGUUUACCUUGAAAAAAUUAGAGUGUUCAAAGCAGGCGUUUGCUUGAAUAUAUUAGCAUGGAAUAAUGGAAUAGGACCCUGGUUCUAUUUUGUUGGUUUUGAGAACCAGAGUAAUGAUUAAUAGGGAUAGUUGGGGGCAUUCAUAUUUCAUUGUCAGAGGUGAAAUUCUUGGAUUUAUGAAAGAUGAACUUCUGCGAAAGCAUUUGCCGAGGAUGUUUUCAUCA
rnacentral:rRNA from 1 species